UUCAUGAACUACAAUAAACUAUGCGAGAAUUUUGCCCUUUGACCCUUUUCACUCUUGAUUGAGCUUCCACAUUCUAGUCCUUUUUCUUUUUAAGAAUGUAUUUUUAGUUUUGGACUUUAGAUGUGUCAGAAAAUGUUUUCGAUCUUAAAAAAAUUACAUUCCUUCUAAUUAUAAUUAUCUGCUGCUGGAUUAAACAUGGAACAAUGGGUUGUUUUUGUUGAUUAUCGUUUGAGGCCUUCUACAGUGGUAUGGUAAACUCUGUUUUUUUUAUUAUUAAUAAGCUUACUUUAAGUUUACACAAAACUGAUUUCAUUUUCACUUUGUAAAACAUGUGUAAUAGAAAUAGAGAUAUAAGGAAGAGACAAAUUAUUCCUCACAAUGGUCAUGUUAUGUCUUUGUCAAGAAGAAGAAAUAAUUUGGUAUUUGUUUACUUAUAUUGUACUCUCUAUUUUAAUAUAUUACAAUUUCUGCCACAUUAUACUUAUAUUAUUAUUGUUGAACAUAUAGAAAAUUGAGAUUGGUAAAAAUAUUGGACGAGCUGAAAUGUGGAAGAUCACACAUAAGAGGAAAAAUGGCACAUAUGUGAAUGAUGAGGCGCUGGAAAUUGGGGUAAGUGUUUGGACUGCUUUGAUGAUGAUGUAUUGAUCAUAGAAAUAUAUUGGACUGCUUUGAUGAUGAUGUAUUGAUCAUAGAAAUAUAUUGGACUGCUUUGAUGAUGAUGUAUUGAUCAUGAUGAUAUACUGGACUGCUUUAAUGAUGAUGUAUUGAUCAUAGAAAUAUAUUGGACUGCUUUGAUGACGAUGUAUUGAUCAUGAUGAUAUAUUGGAUUGCUUUGAUGAUGAUAUAUUGAUCAUAGAAAUAUAUUGGACUCCUUUGAUGAUGAUGUAUUGAUCAUAGAAAUAUAUUGGACUACUUUGAUGAUGAUGUAUUGAUCAUGAUGAUAUACUGGAUUACUUGCAUAAUAUAUUCUAACAAGUAUAUGUUGUUCUUUUGAUUAUUUUCAAUUUUAUCCAGGAAAAAAUUGAUGAACUAAUGUUGACAAAUCCAAGUAUAUGUUUAACACUUUGCUUGCAUAUAUUGCUUCAAGAAAAGAUAUUCCAGAACAUUUUGCUGCAAGGGCAGCUAAUUUGGUUCAUGCAUCCACCAAUGAGGUAUUAAUAUAUUUAAAUAUUUAUUGGUGUCUUUUAUUUUAUAAUUAUAAACAUACAAAUUCAUUAACUUAAAAUUAUUUAUUUCAGGCAUCAAAUUAUGGAAGUGGUGUUCCAUCACCUAAUCAAGUAAUAUGAUCAAGUGCUGGAAGCAAAACUAAUUAGGGAUGUAUGUUUUAAUUUUAAACUUGAUUAGGGAUGUAUGAAAUUUUUAUGUGUUUUAAUUUUCAAUUACAUAUAAACUUUUGAACAUUAUUAUGUGUAUUUUAAUUUUCAAUUACAUAUAAACUUUUGAACAUUACUAUGUGUGUUUUAAUUUUCAAUGAAAUGAAUGGAUGAUUA
rnacentral:lncRNA from 1 species